rnacentral:rRNA from 1 species
CAGUCGCCACGGGAAUACGAAGGGGGCUAGCGUUGUUCGGAAUUACUGGGCGUAAAGCGCACGUAGGCGGACAUUUAAGUCAGGGGUGAAAUCCCGGGGCUCAACCCCGGAACUGCCUUUGAUACUGGGUGUCUAGAGUAUGGAAGAGGUGAGUGGAAUUCCGAGUGUAGAGGUGAAAUUUGUAGAUAUUCGGAGGAACACCAGUGGCGAAGGCGGCUCACUGGUCCAUUACUGACGCUGAGGUGCGAAAGCGUGGGGAGCAAACAGGAUUAGAUACCCCCGUAGUCCCUGUCUCUUAUAC